ACGGGGAGCACUACGAACGGGUGGAGCCUGUCGGUUUAAUUGGAUUACAACGACCGGAAAUCGUCCGACCGGGGGCGACAGCAAUAUGAAGGUCAGGCUGAAGACCUUACCCGAUUAGCUGAGAGGUGGUGCAUGGCCGUCGUCAGUUCGUACUGUGAAGCAUCCUGUUAAGUCAGGCAACGAGCGAGACCCACGUCCACAGUUGCCAGCAUACCCUCCGGGGUGAUGGGUACACUGUGGAGACCGCCGCUGCUAAAGCGGAGGAAGGAGUGGGCAACGGUAGGUCAGUAUGCCCCGAAUCUCCCGGGCUACACGCGGGCUACAAUGGUUGGUACAAUGGGCAUCUACCCCGAAAGGGGAAGGAAAUCUCUUAAAGCCAAUCGUAGUUCGGAUUGAGGGCUGCAACUCGCCCUCAUGAAGCUGGAAUCCGUAGUAAUCGCGUUUCAACAGAACGCGGUGAAUACGUCCCUGCUCCUU
rnacentral:rRNA from 1 species